AAUAAAAUGCCUGAAAAAGGAUUAUUAUGAUAUAAUAAAAAAUAUAAAAUUAAAUUUUAUUUUCAUUA
rnacentral:tRNA from 1 species